CUCCGGGCGGCGGGGCCCGAGAACCAAGGUGGCCCCCGCGGUCCCCGCCGCCGCGCGCCCCUCCCUCCCUCCCCGCGGACCUCCGCGGCCGCCGCUCUGGGACUACACGCGUGCACCACCAUGCCCAGCUGAUUUUUGUAUUUUUAGUAGAGAUGGGGUUUCACCAUGUUGGCCAGUCUGGUCUCAAACUCCUUGACCUCAGGUGAUCUGCCCGCCUCAGCCUCCCAAAGUGGGGAGAUUACAGGUG
rnacentral:lncRNA from 1 species